CCAGCCUGGGUCUUCCUGAGCCCCAAGGCCCCCACGGCUCUUGCUGACGAGGUGCGCCGGCCCAGGCCAGGAGCGGGGCUGCAGAGCGAGCGGCUGGCUGCGUGCCUGGCCCUCCCGCCGCUCUCACAUGCAUACUGUGGUCCCAGCCUGACCUCUCCAUCUGGAGGGGCGGCCUCCCGGAGCUGUGCCAAGGCUGGAUUCCCCGGAGCUGGCUCCGCCAAGCUGCACAGAGGAGCUGCGCCCACCUAUAGCUCAGAACACGGCAGGCCAGGCCUUCCAGGAUCCCCAGCAGGUCGCGUGCCCGUGGUCCUGGCAUCAAGGAAAGGCUGCCUCUGGCUAAACGUGGAGUGGGUUUCUGUCCUAAACUGGCAGACGGUCCUGCCUCACAUGCCAAAUCCAAGACAGGACACCCCCAGCUGCCGGGCCGAGGGAGCAGCGGGGCUGAUGCCUGUGCCUUGAGUCAGAGAUAAAUAGGCGCCUCCUCUGCAGACAAGAAUCGGAGACAAGCCCCAGCUUGGGGAGCUGAUCUCCCUCCCAGAAUUCCCCACGCCCAAAGCUCCCGGCUGCGAUCUGAGGGGCAGCGUGACUUGUGCUCCGGAUGUGGCAUUUUGGGGCUCAGGCCCCUCUUCCACAACAUGAUACAGUUGCCCAGUUCAA